UUGAAAAAAGCAGUACUACUCGUCGGCCAGUAACUCCUAUCACAUCUGAUGAUGAUGACGCUGCGGAAGCAGGUCCAUCAAAAGAAGUAUGAAGCAGCAGAAGUGGGACUUCUGUAAGACACCACCACAAAAAACCUGUGGCCGAAAAGAAAGCAAGGUCGUAUGUCCAGGGCCAACCACAGCAGGCUACCCUGCCACGAAGAUUAUCGUCCGUAUGUUCUGUCCCCCCACUCCAAAUUUUGGACACACCUCCAAGACGUCAUCUUGAUUCUUCUAGUCCUGGCAACAGCAUCCCUCCGCAACCACAGCAACACAGUGACAUGGAGGAGACAAACAUCUUACAAAUGCAGCCAUUAAGCCAAGGAAUUAGCCCCCCAGCACCUGUGAGUACACCACCACAGCAAAGCACACUACCACAACAACACAGCCCAACAACACCAGUAACACAAGGCCCUGAUCAGGUGUUUUGGACCAUUUGGGCUAGACAGCAGGCCACUAAUGAAGAUUGCCUGCGUAGGCAGACACAAAUGUUUGCAAGCCUACCAUGUCACCUCAGAAGAAUAUCAAGAAAUCUGAGUCGACAAAAUGAACAAACAACCAGAAUUGGCAAUACCAAGGAACUCAUGCGUACAGACAUUACACAGGUCAUGGGCAACUUACAGCGCAUAAUGGAAGAACAGCACAGACUAAUGGAAGAACAGCACAGACUAAUGGAAGAACAGCACAGACAACAGCAAAGUUAUAUGAACAUUUUUCAAAACAAUCAAAAGAUUAAUGAAAGUUUAUUCUGACUUGUAGACAAUCAAAAUGCUGCUACACGUGAACUCAAUGCCACCCUCACUAACCUGAAUGAAACACUCAGAUCCAUGCACCAACAGCAAACAAGCAGCAGUUCUGGUACGACUACUCCAAAUAUCACGCCAGUCUCAUCACCACCAAGACGCUCCACCAGAGCAUGACAACAUGACAGUGCUAAAGGCAAAGGGCAGGACAAGCAGCCACCCAAAAAAAUGUGGGGAAAAAACAAAUUAGACAUUUCUGAUAACUAACUCUAAAUAGUUAGUAAGUGUAUGUUUGGCAAAAUAUAUAUAACACUUAGCUCCUUGACAAUUUAUACAACAUCAUUAAUUAUAAGUGGUACAAACAACAACAACAUAAAAUUUGUACACACAUUUCUUCUUUACAAAUUUUUUUUUUGUGUUGGAGGAGGGAAAUGUUGAUGGAGCCGCACAUACAUGUUAGCAGGAAGUAACCAGACCACUUGAUUUUUUUCUAAUCAUUACUCUUUCUAGAUUCCAAUCAUUCUCCUCUCCUGCACACACAAUCAUUGCCAGGCAGCCACAUACAUGUUAGCAGGAAGUAACCAGACCACUUGAUUUUUUUCUAAUCAUUACUCUUUCUAGAUUCCAAUCAUUCCCAUAUCCUGCAGAUAAUCCAAAUUACAAUGUUAUUGAUAACUAAACAUUACAAGAACAACACAAUUGAGUUGCUUAAAAAGCUUUUAAUAUGUUGGCAUUGAAUUUUUAAAAAAACAGACAAAAUGAAUUUCAUUAUUGUUGGGACAUGUUUGUGUGUGUUAAAAAUUAGUAAGAAUGUUAUUACACAUGAUGCAGAAACCAACAAAUAAGAACUUUUUAACCAAAAAACAAAGAAUGUGUAUAAUAAUGUAUAUAUGUGGCACUGUGUAUUUACUUACACAUCAGCAAGUUUACUGCAGCAAACAUUAGGAAAUAAAUUAUUUUUGAUUACAGUAA